UACGUAUGGGGCAAGCGUUAUCCGGAUUUACUGGGUGUAAAGGGAGCGCAGGCGGCCUGGCAAGCCUGAUGUGAAAUACCGGGGCCCAACCCCGGGGCUGCAUUGGGAACUGCCAGGCUGGAGUGCCGGAGAGGUAGGCGGAAUUCCUAGUGUAGCGGUGAAAUGCGUAGAUAUUAGGAGGAACACCAGUGGCGAAGGCGGCCUACUGGACGGUGACUGACGCUGAGGCUCGAAAGCGUGGGGAGCAAACAGG
rnacentral:rRNA from 1 species